rnacentral:lncRNA from 1 species
GAAAGGAAGUACGCUCUAAUGUACCUGCACGCACCACCAUGACUACAACUAAAGGUCUCCUGCCUCGACCUUCCGCAAAAAACCUUCCACCAAUGCCCUUGAGCAUGACAGGAAGCUUGCUUCCAGGCAUGCACUGUCCAGUAGUUGUGUGAAUUUGUUGAGAGUCGGACGGUUUUUUCAUGCUGCUUAGAAAAUGUAUUCAGACCUUAGCGUGUCUGAGUUGUCUUCAGCUGAGGAGGAGCUGGUUAGGGCAGUCAUAAAGAUGGACGGAGUGUUGGAGAAGACAAGGAGUUUUGCUGAGGCCAUGGAGAUAAAGUGAAGAGAGUUGAACUUGGCUGGUCAGAAGGAGUAUGAAAGAUGGUACAGAAGGUGGGUGGUGACAUGAGGUUCUCGCCCCACCAAAAGAAUUAUGGAGCGGAUGGAGAGAAAAACGAUCGCCUAUAAGGUGUUCUUGUUACAAGGAAAAAAGGCUAAGCAGGUGGAAGCUGAAAUGGAAAAGGCACUAAGGGAGCAGUCAAAGGAAAUAACAUACAUAACUAAAGGAAGGAGAUAUGGGACAAUGGUUGCCCAAUUUACGACAGUAGAGGUGGCAAAGAGGCUGGAGUGUAGCAGUGAAUACAGAGGAAGUAGUGCGUCUGCCCAUAUACCUUGGAAGAAAGACUUCAAAAGUAAGGGCAAAAGCAAUACCACCUGAUACAGAAGUGGCUUGGGUGGCGAUGGCUGUCCUUGCUGGAAGCGAGAAGGUGGCUUUCCUUCGAGGCACAGGAAUGGAAGAAGAGUGGAAAUGGAAGACACCUGAAUAAAUUAUACAGGCUGAGAGGGACAACUGGAGAGUUUGGCAGAUAUGGUAAUGUUGGGGGAAAUUGUGCUGAGAGUGUGGGUACAGAACUGAGUAACAUAUUCUUUUAAAUGUGGCCAAAAGGACUACAUUACAGCAUACUGACCACUAAAGAGAAGGGGGUAACAUUUGUACAAUAUGCAAGUGUCGAAAACUCAACAACCAAGAUACUAAAUACGAUUCCAUUAUUGCUGUUCAUUCUAUGAUAGAAUUCAUAGAAACCAGCAUAACAUUUGCAGCAUUUGCAACUGCGGAAACCAACAACCAAGAUACUAAAUACGAUUCCAU